UACGGAGGGAGCUAGCGUUGUUCGGAAUUACUGGGCGUAAAGCGCACGUAGGCGGCUAUGCAAGUCGGGGGUGAAAGCCCGGGGCUCAACCCCGGAACUGCCCUCGAAACUAGGUAGCUAGAAUCUUGGAGAGGUCAGUGGAAUUCCGAGUGUAGAGGUGAAAUUCGUAGAUAUUCGGAAGAACACCAGUGGCGAAGGCGACUGACUGGACAAGUAUUGACGCUGAGGUGCGAAAGCGUGGGGAGCAAACAGG
rnacentral:rRNA from 1 species